GGAAACACUGUGCACAGCGUGUUCUGCUGCGCUGCGGCACAGAGGGACGCAGAGGAGAGGGCCGAGGCAGAGAGGAGCGGAGAUGGGGGAAGCAGCGCCGGGCCCCUAGGGCACAGCCCCCACUUCCUGGUGCUGGGAUCUGCCGCCCUCCGGCGGUAAGCGACAGCCCGUGUCCUUGCGUCAGACCCACCCUGCUCACUGAUGCUGGCCGAGGGCCUCUGACUGGCAGAAGCAGAUUCUCCAGCAGCUUGGGCUCCUGAGACUUCAGCUGCAGCCCCAGACUCAGUGCCCGCCCCGCACCCCGAUGGUCAGAGCCCCCAUCUGCUCCCCCUCCCGUGCCCCUCCUCUUGGCCUCUGCCCCAGGCUCUCCACGUGGUCAGCACCACCAUGAACCUUGGCCCCACAGUCCUGAUGGCACCUUCCUGCUUGUUUGUGUAACUGC
rnacentral:lncRNA from 1 species